rnacentral:rRNA from 1 species
UACGUAGGGUGCGAGCGUUAAUCGGAAUUACUGGGCGUAAAGCGUGCGCAGGCGGUCUGUUAAGACCGAUGUGAAAUCCCCGGGCUUAACCUGGGAACUGCAUUAGUGACUGGCAGGCUUUGAGUGUGGCAGAGGGAGGUAGAAUUCCACGUGUAGCAGUGAAAUGCGUAGAGAUGUGGAGGAAUACCGAUGGCGAAGGCAGCCUCCUGGGCCAACACUGACGCUCAUGCACGAAAGCGUGGGGAGCAAACAGG